GAUGAACGCUGGGGGUCUGCUUAACACAUGCAAAUCGAACGGUGAACCCUCGGGUUCAUAGUGGGGGACGGGUGAGUAACACGUGAGAAUCUGCCUCCAGGUCGGUGACAACAGUGGGAAACUGCUGCUAAUACCCGAUGUGCCUACGGGUGAAAAAUUAAUUGCCUGGAGAUGAGCUCGCGUCCGAUUAGCUAGUUGGUAAAGUAAAAGCUUACCAAAGCUCCGAUCGGUAGCUGGUCUGGGAGGAUGAGCAGCCACACUGGGACUGAGACACGGGCCAGACUCCUACGGGAGGGAGCAGUGGGGAAUUUUCCGCAAUGGGGGAAAACCUGACGGAGCAAAACCGCGUGGGGGAUGAAAGCUCUUGGGUUGUAAACCCUUUUCUCAGGGAAAAAAUUCUGACGGUACCUGAGGAAUAAACAUCGGGUAACUCCGUGCCAGCAGCCGCGGUAAAACGGAGGAUGCAAACGUUAUCCGGAAUUAUUGGGGGUAAAACGUUCGUAGGUGGGUGUUCAAAUCUGCCGUUAAAAACCGGGGGUUAACUCCGGAAAAACUGUGGAAACUGAACAGCUAGAGUAUGGUAGGGGUAAAGGGAAUUCCCGGUGUAGCGGUGAAAUGCGUAGAUAUCGGGAAAAACACCGGUGGGGAAACGCUUACUGGGGAUAACUGACACUGAGGGACGAAAACUAGGGGAGCGAAAGGGAUUAGAUACCCCUGUAGUCCUAGCUGUAACGAUGGAUACUAGGUGUUGCCCGUAUCGACCCGGGAGUGCCGUAGCUAACGCGUUAAAUAUCCCGCCUGGGGAGUACGCACGCAAAUGUGAAACUCAAAAGAAUUGACGGGGGCCGCACAAACGGUGGAGUAUGUGGUUUAAUUCGAUGCAACGCGAAAAACCUUACCAGGGGUUGACAUGUCCAGAAUCUUGGGGAAACUUGAGAGUGCCUUCGGGAGCUGGAACACAGGUGGUGCAUGGGUGUCGUCAGCUCGUGUCGUGAGAUGUUGGGUUAAAUCCCGCAACGAGCGCCCCUCGUCCUUAGUUGCCAUCAUUAAAUUGGGGACUUUAGGGAGACUGCCGGUGACAAACCGGAGGAAAGUGGGGAUGACGUCAAAUCAGCAUGCCCCUUACGUCCUGGGGUACACACGUACUACAAUGGGAAAGACAGAGGGUAGCAAACGCGCGAGUGCAAACCAAUCCCAUAAACCUUUCCUCAGUUCAGAUUGAAAUUUGCAACUCAACUUCAUGAAAGCGGAAUCGCUAGUAAUCGCAGGUCAGCAUACUGCGGUGAAUACGUUCCCGGGGCUUGUACACACCGCCCGUCACACCAUGGAAAUUGGGCAUGCCCGAAAUCAUUACCCUAACCGCAAAGAGGGGGAUGCCGAAAGCAGGGGUGAUGACUGGGGUGAAAUCGUAACAAAGUAGCGUACCGGAAAG
rnacentral:rRNA from 1 species